UACGUGGGGUGCGAGCGUUAAUCGGAAUUACUGGGCGUAAAGCGUGCGCAGGCGGUUUUGUAAGCCAGAUGUGAAAUCCCCGGGCUUAACCUGGGAAUGGCAUUUGGGACUGCAAGGCUGGAGUGCGGCAGAGGAGACUGGAAUUCCUGGUGUAGCAGUGAAAUGCGUAGAUAUCAGGAGGAACACCGAUGGCGAAGGCAGGUCUCUGGGCUGACACUGACGCUCAUGCACGAAAGCGUGGGGAGCAAACAGG
rnacentral:rRNA from 1 species